GGGUCGAUGCCCGAGGGGUUAAUGGGGACGGACUGUAAAUUCGUUGGCGAUAUGUCUACGCUGGUUCAAAUCCAGCUCGACCCA
rnacentral:tRNA from 1 species